GCCUGGAUAGCUCAGUUGGUUAGAGUGUGGUGCUGAUAAUUCCAAGGUUGUGGGUUUGAUUCCCAUAUGGGACA